rnacentral:rRNA from 1 species
GAUGAACGCUGGCGGCGUGCUUAACACAUGCAAGUCGAGCGAUGAAGUUUCCUUCGGGAAACGGAUUAGCGGCGGACGGGUGAGUAACACGUGGGUAACCUGCCUCAUAGAGUGGAAUAGCCUUCCGAAAGGAAGAUUAAUACCGCAUAACGUUGAAAGAUGGCAUCAUCAUUUAACCAAAGGAGCAAUCCGCUAUGAGAUGGACCCGCGGCGCAUUAGCUAGUUGGUGGGGUAACGGCCUACCAAGGCGACGAUGCGUAGCCGACCUGAGAGGGUGAUCGGCCACAUUGGGACUGAGACACGGCCCAGACUCCUACGGGAGGCAGCAGUGGGGAAUAUUGCACAAUGGGGGAAACCCKGAUGCAGCAACGCCGCGUGAGUGAUGAAGGUUUUCGGAUUGUAAAGCUCUGUCUUUGGGGAAGAUAAUGACGUACCC